rnacentral:lncRNA from 1 species
ACAGAGGACAGCCCCUGAAGGCAUAAGCAGGAAGGGCAUAAUGCUUUCCAAAAGAGAAAACUACAUGGACUUUACUGACUCAUCACUGAGUUCUGAGAUCACUGACACUUACACAUGUGUCCACGCUGUUGUGAGUCAUGGGGAAAAAUGGAGGAGCAAAAUGACCAAGUGGCAGGGUCUGUAAGAGUCUCUCACUGUAGGGAUGGGCUGCCCUGAGGAGACACUGCCCAGGCCUGGGUGCCCCGGGCCAAAGUCCUGACCCUUGCAGGGCUGUGUCCUGUGGAUGACAUGUGGCACUGGACUGCUCACUGACAGGUCACACCCAUCUUCAGUCUCUGCUCACCAUGACAGAGUCACAGCCACACCCGGGACAGAACCUGGGCUCCGGGCAGCAGGUAAUAGGAGGAUAUUCUACCCAGGGCCGGAACAAGCCAGGUCCAGCCUCAACUGCUCUGUGGCUAGUAAGUGCGAGGAUGCUGUGUCACAGGUGUCACACGUCACUAAGAGAACGUCGUGGGCGCACGGGGAAUGUCUUUAUGGCACUGUCUGGAAGCAGGCUGCAUCUCAGCAGCUCCAGAGGUUACAGGGGCUGGUUUUCACCAACACAAGAAGUGUUAGAGACAGGAGACGUGGAGGAACCUGUCGAACCUGGUGGGGAUCGAGUUUAAACACAUCUGCACACACUUGGGUGUGUGUGUCCCAGCGCAUCUCAGCCCUGAGUGCCCACACCUGGCUUCCCUGCCCCCCCACCCCUCCUACCCCACAGUCCACACUGCCCCACACCUACUCGUGUCCAGAAAGCUCUCGCUGAGCCUCCUCCCACAUCAGCCACUCUUGGAGGACUGAGAAAACAGUGGUGGGGGGCCAGUUCCCAAAUCCAGGCGCUCCUGGCACAUCCAAAUCCGGGACGACUGACCAAGGGCUCGCACUCAGCCUGAGGAAGCAAGUGGUCCUUUGACUCGGAGUAAGAACUGCUCAGAGGCCAACGUGCUCUGGCUCGGGUCCCCCUGGCACCUCCAGAUUUCAUCUACAUGGGAACAGAGACCCCUCUGCUUUGCUCCCUGCUGUAAACAUCCCGGCUCGGGAAAGUCUCUAUCUACAGACACUGCUGGGUGCUGAGUUUCCAGAGCAGUCAAUGCGAUGUGCGACUCCGUGGUGAGAACUGAAGAUGCAUGAGGAUGAGGGGCGCUCGAUCCCUGUCCUCUGUGAUCUGGUACAACAGAAUCAACCCCUGCAUGGUGGGCCCCAGUGAGCAGCCUGCGGGAUGCACGGAGCCACCCAGAAACACGUGAACUCGGUGGCAGCAGCAGAGACAGAAACAUCUCACAGUACACCAGGAAUGAAAGUGUAAAAUACUUAGCAUUUGACAAGGUUUCCAGUUAUAUGUUCUUCUUUGAGCAUCAAAUGAGGGUCCCAUACCUAUUUCUGUGCUCAUGUUACAGACAGAAUGGAAACACAGAGAGUUACAGAGAUGUGAUCCAGGUGGGGGCUGGGAAGGGGCUUCCUGCAGAGGUUUAUACCCAGGCUCGUGGAGAAAAUGCCCUACGAGGGACCAAGCCAAGGACUCAAGCAAACGCAGGGAAUGAGACAGCGUUUCCAGGCCAGAAUGCGGGAGCCCUUCAGCAGAAUCAGGGGUUAGGAAGCUCGGUGACUUCAGGCAGGAAGGCGAUGGAACGGGAACAGGGUCUUUCUGUUUCACGUAGGCGAUGGAACGGGAAUGGGGGUCUUUACUUUUCACGCAGGUGAUGGAACAGGAACGGGGUCCUUCCAUGUGGGAAAUGCUGAGCCUGCGCUGCCAACCGCCUCCGGGUGAGACAUCUUGUGGACAGCUGGGACAGGCGGCAGAGUAAGAGGCAGUGGUUUAGAAGUCAAAUGCCCUUGGACAAUUGUGGAAGCUUUUGAUUUUAUUAUUUUAUUAUUAACUGAAAAAAAUAGAAAAUAGAAAAUAGAAAAAAAUAGAAUUGGAGAGGAGGAAUAAGUAGAUGUUUAGCAACAGAGCGUGCAAUGCAGCAGCACACUGAGAAAAGUAGCCCAGAAAGGACGGGGAGCUUCAGGAGGCGACAACUCACAAAUAUGACGGCCACUCACAGGCCAGUCCUGCAAACGACAGAUGACUCCAGGAGAGGCCGGGCGUGGUGGCUCACACCUGCAAUCCCAGCACUUUGGGAGGCUGAGGCAGGUGGAUCACCUGAGGUCAGGAGUUCGAGACCAGCCUGGCCAACAUGGCGAAACCCCGUCUCUACUAAAAAUACAAAAAUUAGCCGGGCGUGGUGGCGGGCACCUGUAAUCUCAGCUACUCGGGAGGCAGAGGCAGGAGAAUUGCUUGAACCUGGGAGGCAGAGGUUGCAGUGAGUCGAGAUCAUGCCAUUGCAAUUCAGCCUGGGCAACAGGGCGAGACUCCAUCUCGAAAACAAAACAAAACAAAACAAAUGACUUGAGGAGACGGCUUCAGAAAAUACUGUUGUGUUUGGUGACUGAGUGGUUAUUCAUGUUCUUGGACAAUGCUUUCCAAAUGUUAGUUUGCCUACAGGUCACGCAAACAUCCUGCAUGUGAAGGCAGACUCCGGAGGUCUGGGAAGCACUGGGUUUUGGGUUUUUUUGUAUAAAAGCUUCCAGAUGGCACUGAUGCUGCCUGUCAGGGGACUACACCUUGACAAGCCUGUAGAGACUGUGUUAGAAGGGCAGGGUGAACACCAGAUCCCGUAGCGAGGUAAGGGGUAAGCAGGUGUGAGGAGGCAGGGCAGACACAUGGCCGCCUUCUAGGAGUCUGAGAGUGGAGAUUAGGAUAAUAGAAGCUUAAUGGCAUUUUAAGGUUAAAGAUCUUAUUUUUUGCUUUGUAUUGAUUUUGGACGGAUGAGUCCUGGAAAAAUUAAUUGCCAAGGGUCACUUGGAAGAGAGUGGGUGCCGUGACAUCGGUGGGGUCACCCAAUGUCAGACUGGCGAGCAUUUUGAGUUGCCCGUAACUGUUGUGCCUCAAGCUCCUGGUGUUCCCGGAGGCUGUGCCCUGGAGGCCCGUUGCAGAGAACACGGAGGCACAUUCUCCUGCUGUGAAGUCAGCCCAGGCAAGGCAGGCGUGGCAGCCUGUACCAUUGGUGUGGCCACGGGGCCGAGAGGGCAGGAAACAGAGAGAGGGAGGUUGGUUUCAUGUUGCAAAAUGCCGGAUGAGUGGGCAAACCCCCCGCAAUUCUGUCUGGCCAAAUUAUACUUUUAGGUUCAGGCCUAUACUUUAUAUUUUAAAAGCUCAAAUUAUUUUAUAAUCUCCUGAAAAUACAUCAUCUUGCCAUUUGCUUUCAAUACUGCACUGCGACCUUUUAUAAUCUUUCAAAAACAUGUUCUCCCUUUGGAUAAAUGAGAAAAUAAAUAGUAUUCAGUGAAGACCAACUACUGAAUUAUUUUAAAAUAUCUUGUUUAUAAAAGGUUUUUACCAGUGAGAGGAUUUAAGAGUUGCUUGGCUCUUGAAGCCAGCAGAGACUUCUGUGUGCAUUGCUUCAUUUGUGGGGGAGGACUCUAGCCCCACAUGGCAGAUGAAAAACUGUGCCUCGGAGGAGUUAAGCGAAUUGCUGAGGAUGGUACCACAGAGAGCGACUGAGGCGACAGCCAGCAUCCAGCCUCCAGAGUUCCACUGUGCUUCCCCAAAGACAGGCGGGCUCUCCUCAAGCACAUUUUUACUUUAGGAGCUGCUGAAACUGGGGUGUGGACCACGGGAUCCCCCCUGACCAGCCUCAAGCCCGAGCCUGCGAUUCUCUCAUCCGCACUUCACCAGCUGAGGUGAAGGGUGGGCCUCCAUUUUGGUUGAAUUACAUUCUCUCUCACAGAACCAUCUGGAAACCCCAUCACCUUAAUAAUUCAGUGUUGUUUGAUGCUGUGAAAGGUGAAAAAGACUUCAAUUCUUACUACCAAAUUGUGCUGGGGAGUGACACAGAUAGUCAGUCUCUCAGCAGCACGCACACCCUGUUAGAAGGGGGUAUGGUUUUUACUUUCCGCUUAUUCCCGGCAAAUCCUGUGGCUUCCACUAAGCAAGGAUGUCCUCUGAGCACCCUGACCCUCCCGAUUCCCGUGCACCGCCCCAGCCUCCGCUGUCGCCUGCCCUCCACCUGGCGCCUCCGUUAUUUACUUGUUCCCCAGGUUCAGUCUCGGGCGGCCUCGGCUUUCUCCACGUCUUCUCCCUGCACAGUGGCAACGCUUCCAGAACCCCAGCUGCUCUAACACCAGGCCCAGCUCCUCCAACCCAAGCGUCUCUACCCAACUGUGGGAUCUGUCCGCACCUCCAGAUGGGGAGGCCCACGUCUCCGUGUCACCUGAGGGCGGGUGUGUUUAGAAGCAUGCUUUUGCAUCUCCACCACUGGAGACACAGGGACUUGGGGUGUGUACGUUUUGUGAAAACUCAAACAUGGGCCUCACCUUUUGGUUUUAUGGAUGUGAACCACGUCCCUGCAGUCAUCAGAGUGGAAUGCUGCUAGCGGCUGGCCCUAGGCUGAGUGUUUGACCGGGAAUACCCACACACUUCUCUCAACUAACCCGUGAGGUUGGCAUGUUCAGUACCUGGGGAGAAAGUGGGGUAACAAUGACAGGACUAAAGCCCACAGCCUGGGGCCUGGCACCUGGCAAGUGCCCUCUGGGUGUUGGUGGAGUUCUUACUUGGAUGACUUUAAUCAUUACAGAGGCUCCCUAAGGCCACACAGCUGGUAGGGGCUCUGGCCCCGUCUCAUCUCACUCCAGAGCCCCAGGUCAUGCUGAUGCAAGAGGGAGGUUCCCAUGGUCUUGGGCAGCUCUGCCCCUGUGGCUUUGCAGGAUACAGCCUCCUUCCAGCUGCUUUCAUGGUCUGGCAUUGAGUGACUGUGGCUUUUCCAGGCUCACGGUGCAAGCUGCCAGUGGAUCUACCAUUCUGGGGUUGGAAGAUGGUGGCCCUCUUCUCACUGCUCCACCAGGAAGUGCCCCAGUGGGGACUCUAUGUGGGGGCUCUGACCCCACAUUUCCCUUCUGCACUGCCCUGGCAGAGGUUCUCCAUGAGGGCCCCGCCCCUACAGCAACGUUUUGCAUGGGCAUCCAGGCAUUUCCAUAUGUCUUCUGAAAUCCAGGUGGAGGUUCCCAAACCUCAGUUCUUGACUUCUG